GCCCUCGGGGUCCAUGCCAGCGGGACCAUCUUGAGCUAUUUCACUUCGAUCAUCCCUAUGGAAAAAAAACACACACACACCCAAAAGGCAGAAAAACGACGACAUAGAAGUCGAUGCGGAGGCAGGCGGGUGGGCCCAGCAGCAACAGCGAAAACGACACUUACAUUAUCAACAAUAAAAAAUUGACUAGUUAAAUUUGUAUACUGAAUUUCGACGGCUUGAGCACCGUUCAGUUAAACAAUUUCUGGAUUAGUUGUAUGUCAAAAAUUUGUAACGAAAAUUUUUUUUUUUCUUUUCUUUUCACAGAGUGCACACAAACGUGUUUUGUUGUGCGUGCUGUUCUGCGGUAUUUUCACGUAUGCGAGCGAAUGCCAGUGUGAGUUUUAACGACCGCUAGGCGGCCUUUUGAGCGUCUCGUCGUCACCGUCGUCCAAUGAGUGUAUCUGUGUGUGUGUGUGUGCGAAAGAGUGAACUAGAUGUGUCAAUGUCAGUGGUUGCUUCGGUCGUGUGCAUGUGUCUGAGCAGUAACGAGCUAUCUACUUUUAACUGCAGUGUUGCAUGUGCGUAGUAGCUGGGAAAUAGUAGUAGAUUAAAGCAAAAAAAAAAGGUACUAAACGAAGCAGGCAAGAAAAUGUUUAAGCCAACAGGCAAAUUUAAG